rnacentral:rRNA from 1 species
GAUGAACGCUGGCGGCGUGCUUAACACAUGCAAGUCGAACGGGAUCGGCUGGAGCUUGCUUCGGCCGUGAGAGUGGCGAACGGGUGAGUAAUGCGUGACCGACCUGCCCCAUACACCGGAAUAGCUCCUGGAAACGGGUGGUAAUGCCGGAUGCUCCAGUUGGAUGCAUGUCCUUCUGGGAAAGAUUCUAUCGGUAUGGGAUGGGGUCGCGUCCUAUCAGGUAGUCGGCGGGGUAACGGCCCACCGAGCCUACGACGGGUAGCCGGCCUGAGAGGGCGACCGGCCACAUUGGGACUGAGAUACGGCCCAGACUCCUACGGGAGGCAGCAGUGGGGAAUAUUGCACAAUGGGCGCAAGCCUGAUGCAGCGACGCCGCGUGCGGGAUGACGGCCUUCGGGUUGUAAACCGCUUUUGACUGGGAGCAAGCCCUUCGGGGUGAGUGUACCUUUCGAAUAAGCACCGG